GUUUAGAGUAGAUGGGAGGUCUGG
rnacentral:piRNA from 1 species